UGCUAUCGGAUUGAUACUAAGCCAUGCGAGUCAUUGUAGUAAUACAAGGCAGACGGCUCAGUAACGCGUAGUCAACCUAACCUAUGGACGGGAAUAACCUCGGGAAACUGAGUAUAAUGCCCGAUAGAACAUUAUGCCUGGAAUGGUUUAUGUUCCAAAUGAUUUAUCGCCGUAGGAUGGGACUGCGGCCUAUCAGUUUGUUGGUGAGGUAAUGGCCCACCAAGACUAUUACAGGUACGGGCUCUGAGAGGAGUAGCCCGGAGAUGGGUACUGAGACACGGACCCAGGCCCUAUGGGGCGCAGCAGGCGAGAAAACUUUGCAAUGUGCGAAAGCACGACAAGGUUAAUCCGAGUGGUUUCUGCUAAAGGAACCUUUUGUCGAUCCUAGAAACACCGAUGAAUAAGGGGUGGGCAAGUUCUGGUGUCAGCCGCCGCGGUAAAACCAGCACCUCAAGUGGUCAGGAUGAUUAUUGGGCCUAAAGCAUCCGUAGCCGGCUCUGUUAGUUUUCGGUUAAAUCUGUACGCUCAACGUACAGGCUGCCGGGAAUACUGCAGAGCUAGGGAGUGGGAGAGGUAGACGGUACUCGGUAGGAAGGGGUAAAAAUCCCUUUGAUCUAUUUGAUGACCACCUGUGGCGAAAGGCGGGUCUACCAGAACACGUCCCGACGGUGAGGGAUGAAAGCUGGGGGAGCAAACCGG
rnacentral:rRNA from 1 species